UGAAUAGAGAACACCCAUACGUCUUCCUAAGAAAACCUUGCAUCUUCGUGUUCCUGUGCUUGAAGUUGGUAAUUUUACCUUCCCUCUGUAAUUAGAUAGCCUGCUCCUUCGCUCUGAUGGUGGAGGGAUCGCCCUAGAAAGAUGUUGGUUAUACGACCCGGACGAAUUACUCUUCCACUGCUAGUGUUUGUUUGUGAAAGACCCGCAUGUGUUUCUUUUGUAGCCUGUUGGUACAGUAGGGCGGAUGACAAUUUUCUCUUUCCCAAGUCUUGCUCCUCCUUGCGAGCUUCGGUAGAACUGAUUUGUUAUCUGCUGCCGGUUACGUAUACGUAGACCGACGUAUAAAUGAUUCAACGUAACCCCUUUUCUGUACGCUCUUUCAGAAACUUCGAUAUCAUGAAGGCAGCCGUGGCUUUCGCGCUUAUUGCCAUUUGCACUCUCCUUAUGAUGGGAAUGAAUGCGGCUUUCGCUCACGACUCGGAGGCAAGAGCCAUGGGUUCUGAAAACGAUGAGCGCGCUGAUACUGCUCAUCAAGUGUCAGGGAGACAGCUCAGCCCCGGUUGCUUGGCAUCUCUCUGUGGAUAAAACUUCCAAGGACAGCGAUUCGUUUGAAAUGGUUCCCUGCAGAAAAACGUGUCCAAGGCGCCUUUGUGGGGAAGAGAUGUUUAGCAAUAACAUUUUCUGAAGUUGAAUCAUUCGCUCCAUGGUUCUGCAGGGAUGCUUCAUCGCGGUGUUGCAUGUACUGACAAUAAUAAAAUAAAGCGUUUGGCAAGACUGAAA